UUAAAAAAAAAAAAACAAUAGGAGAGACACCUUUCGCCGCAAAUUAGAUGAUGAACAAAGUCCAUUCACCCAAACUCUCAGGUCAUCCUGACCCCAGAAGCACAUGCUGCUGACCCCGGCAACCAUCCCAAACCACAACGUCCACAAACAAACAUUUUAAUAAUUUUUUUUUCCAAAACAAAAGGGGAAAAUAAAAGAAUAUAAAGUAAGAAAGAUGCUAAGCAGGACAGUUGUUUCAGUGUCUGCUGUUUCUUCAACCUUUUCAACAUCUCCGUCCCGAUUUCUGUGCAAAGUGAACCCAACAAUCCCUAAAUUCUUGGGUCUGGAAAAACUCUCCCACUACUUCACUAACUGGACCACAUGGAACAAAGACUUGAACUUGAAUAGAAAGUGUAGUACAAGAAUGGAGAAUUUCACGACCAAAGCAUCAGCAGCAGCUCAGCCUUUAACAAACGCAGAUGAGCUCAUUGGUUCUGUUGAGACUUUCAUCUUUGAUUGUGACGGAGUGUUAUGGAAAGGAGAUAAAUUGAUUGAUGGAGUCCCUCAAACUCUUGAUAUGCUCCGCUCAAGAGGGAAGAGACUAGUUUUUGUUACAAACAACUCAACAAAGUCUAGGAAACAAUAUGGUAAAAAGUUUGAGUCCCUUGGUCUUGAUGUCAGUGAGGAAGAGAUUUUUGCAUCUUCUUUUGCCGCUGCAACCUAUUUGAAGUCAAUUGAUUUCCCAAAAGAUAAAAAGGUUUAUGUGGUUGGUGAGGAUGGCAUCUUGAAGGAGCUCGAGCUUGCUGGAUUUCAGUAUCUUGGUGGGCCAGAAGAUGGUGGAAAAAAGAUAGAGCUGAAGCCUGGGUUUCUGAUGGAGCACGAUAAAGAUGUUGGGGCAGUUGUUGUUGGAUUUGAUCGCUAUUUCAACUACUACAAAGUCCAGUAUGGAACACUCUGUAUAAGGGAAAAUCCUGGAUGUCUCUUCAUUGCUACAAAUCGUGAUGCAGUCACCCAUCUUACAGAUGCUCAGGAAUGGGCAGUCGGUGGUUCUAUGGUCGGUGCUUUUGUUGGUUCAACUCUGCGUGAGCCACUGGUUGUGGGAAAGCCCUCAACUUUUAUGAUGGAUUACUUAGCAAACAAAUUCAGAAUUCUCAAGUCACAAAUAUGCAUGGUUGGGGACAGAUUGGAUACUGAUAUUCUGUUUGGACAAAACGGUGGUUGCAAAACUCUUCUUGUACUCUCCGGUGUGACCUCAUUGUCGAUGCUUCAAAGUCCAAGCAACUCCAUCAAACCAGAUUUCUACACCAACAAAAUUUCUGAUUUUCUUUCCCUCAAAGCUUCAGCUGUCUGAGCAUGCGUGGACAUUGUGCACUGUAUUUAGGUCCGUGCAUAUUUUUUCAAUUAUAAUUGCUAACAUUACCACAUGGAACUUUGCUAAAAUCCGCAGCUGUAGUAACCAGAUAUAUUUGCUGACAGAUGUUAAAUUUGUUCGUGUAGGGCGAGCAGACAGUGAAGGCUAUGCCCUAUCAUUUUACAUAAAUUUGCCACCUGACAGAGGAGCUUUUUUAUUUCAUUGAACAUCAAGUGUCUUCACCUUU